GGACGAUUAUUGGAGAAUAACUGUGGUUUGUCAUAAACUGAAUCAGGCAGUGAUUCCAAAUGCAGCUGUCGUCUCUGUUGAACCUUUACUGGAGCAAAUCAGUGCAAUUCCCAGCCUUUGAAGGAAGCUUAAAAAGUGAGAUCUUAGGGAGCUCCGAAUUAGGACGAAUGAAGUAGAGCUCUCUCGUGGAAACAUCUCCACUCUCUGGACUGCCCUCUCCCACCUCCGAAGCUCCUUGGACUCUCCUGAUCCCGGGGCCCCAG
rnacentral:lncRNA from 1 species